ensembl:lncRNA
UGAAAAGCUUUAUUUUAAUGCAAAAUAAACCAAGUACAUUUUAUAUAGUAAUAUGAAACAAAAAUUCCAAAUGCUUUCUGUGGUAUAAAAAGGAACAAUCUUUCAAAUUUAGCAAAGACUCCAUCCCUUUAAUUCCCCAUAUUCCAAAAUAUGAUUUCAUAUAAUUUUUUCUUUAUAACUUUUGAACAGAUUUGGUAUCAUAAAAUCACAGGAAAUACUAGAAAAAGUAGUUUAUAAACAACAGGUUUUGUUUUUACGUCCGGAUAGUAAACAGCACUCCAGUUAGUGCAGACUGAGUGAGAAUAUUUUCUCAAAUCACUGCAAUCAGGGAUACCGGCUAGAAGUGUAAUCAGGGGCCAUUAACUCCCCCAACAUCAGGGCUUUCUAGUCCACCUUUGAAAAAUCAGCCCUUGAGGGAUGCUAUUAUGAUUUAGGGAUGUGGGUGAGAAAAAUGGUCUACUUAAGAGACCUGGCUGCAUAUAAGAUAUGGGACUAAUUUUAGUCUGCCCAAGGUUUCUCUUUGAUCACAAAGCUCACUCUGCAGGGAUCUCUCAGAGUGACUACUUCUUGCUCCACCAUCACUGGGCUAUCAUUUCUUCCCAGACUGAUAUAGAUGAGGAGUGUUGAGAAAAAGCAUCUUUGGUUAUUCCUAUUAACGGCUCUUCCUGAAGUAAUGGCACCAAAUGUGGCCACAGUGUGACUCGUGGACUCAGAAAGCAGGAGAGAAAUCUCUCCAGUGGAAUGACUUCCACUUGGAAAGGAGCUGUAUUUAGAGUCUCAAUGUUUCAAAUUAUGUGAUGUUUACCAGGCCCAUAAAUAAACUAAACCUAUCGUGGGGUAUUUUCCUUUCCUUCCAAAUCUCCAAAGAAUGUUCUCUUAGAUUCGUUUUCCUCUAGGCUUUGAGCAAUUCACUUUCAAAUGACCAACACUAGACAGCUGUAAUGACUAGCUUCAGUGGUCUGACUCAACACACUGAAUCUUCAAUCAGCUCAAGCUCCUCCAGAAUCCAGAUCAGCUUACAACUUGGAAUAGCACAUGGGAUGAGGAAAGGAUGUUGGCUUUACAUAUUCAUUCAGACUUGUGAUUCCAUAACCACUGGUGUAGAAACCUUCCCUUACCUGAUAAAUACUGAACAGAAGGUUUAUACUUUAUAGACUUAGUAGCUAGAGAUUAAAUGGCUUGCCCAUGGUUUGUUAAACAAUCCGUACAUGUGAGAAACUGAAUUUGAAUUCAAAUCUUCUUAUUCAGAACCCAGCCCUCUGUAUCCAACACAUUAUGCUCCCUCUGAGCAGUGGUAGGAAGUAGAUAGGAUACACCUGGGUUGGAAAACACACAAUAGCUCUGUGAUGGUAGGCAGCUCUCAUAAUUUCUCUUGACAUCUCUAAAUAUCCAAUAAGUAUGAAUAAAAGGGGAAAAAAACCCAAUCUCUAGUUUCUGUUUCCUGAAUUUUAACCAUCCUGACUUGUCUUCAGUCUUCAGAUCUGGUACUGUGGAAAGGCAUAUAACCUGCCCCUUUUGCCCACCUUAUUCCAAGAGUGAUAGUCCAGCAGCCCAAAGGUCCAAUGCCUUGAUGAGAUAUUUCUUUGUGCUGUUAAUGGAGAGUGGAAUUUUUCUUUCACUAUAACUUCUGAUGAUCUAUUUCCAGAUAUUACCCUUUUUACCUAUUUCUUCAAACACAGGAGGAAAAUAGGGGUCUGUAAAAAUGUCUACUGACUUAAGGCAAAAACAUCAUUUCAAGUCCUAAGUGACCUAUUGGGUCAGAUUAGCAGCAAGGAAGGGGUUUGUUUGAUGGGUGUUCCUUAAGUGGCACCAGCCAUGGCAUUCCAGGGGGGUUAUUAGAGUUCUGAGCUAUGUGGAAACUACUGAUUGAGUUUUCCAAAGGCCAUAAAUAAACUGGAAGUUUGUUUUUCACCCCAUGCUGAUUAUGCUGUGUUUUUCCUAAAUACUGUAGAUGAAAUCUGUAAAUGGUACUGUAGUGCCCUGAGAAGCGAUAUAUUGCGUAGUGAUUUAUUAAGCCCUCCCUCGAGUUCUGAGCUGUUUCUAAUUGUUGCCUGGCUUGAUAAAGGCACUGUCGCAAACACACAAUAUUAGUUCCUUUCCAGCAGGGGCAAAUGGGAUGUGGGUUAUAUUUCAAAGGAGCAAAGGGAACUAUCUUAAUUUAUUUUUCACUCACUUUAAGUGGACCUUCUCGGCUCUGGCUGCCUCCCUGAGGUUACCACAUUUUUAUUGACUGUGUACACAAUACAAAAAGCCUUCUCCAGAGAAUCUCAGGCCCAGUCUAUGUGCAGUAGGUGGAGUACGUGCUAGGUUUCCAAGUGGGAAUGUGAAAAUGAGGGCUUUCUUUCUAUUAAGAUCACACCUCUUGCCCACUAUAGACUGCUUAACCUCAUGUUAUUGACCUCUAUCCAGAUCCUCUCGUUUGUGGUCACAUCCUUUACCAAUAAACGGAAGCUUCUGGCUUCUAUCCCGUAAGAGCUAAGCUGGAGAUUGGAAUCAGGGAAGGAAAGAACCAAAGACCUCAUUUCUAAUGACCCAUUGCAAGGAACAUUUCCCCUAACUUUAUCUUUUUCAUCUGCAAAAUUUAUUAAGCUUAUUAUCCCUUUCAGCAGAUCCCCUCAAUACCUCAACUUGGUGUACCUCUAUUCUACUAGCAAGUACUGAAUCAGCACCUCCAAGGUAGGACUUUCAAGACCCCAGUGGCUCUCCAGUCAGGUUACAAGUAAAAGCAAGCACCCAAUAAUCACAGGUGGGCAAACCUGGGACUUUUAAUAAAAUCAGGUGUUAUAUAUGUGGCAAAAACCCACAUUAGAUCCCUUACCCUGGUUCCUACUGAAUACUGUUAACAGGAAUUCAAAUGAGGUUCUGUAUGCCAUAGCUCCAAGAUGGGCUCUUGUGGUUGAGAGAUAGAAAAAGCAACAUCCUGGUACAUCUCCAACAGGAAAUUGUAGUUAAGAAUAUUUGAGAGAUAUUGAGCUCCAAACCCCACUUCCUCUAUAAAUCCUGUUAGAACUUAAAGCUAGGAGGGGACCUCAGAUAUCAUCAAGUUCAAAUGAUCAUUUUCUUUUACAAAUGAAGAAACUCUCCAUUUGUAAAAUGAGGUAAUUGAACUAGAUGGCUCUGAACUAGGUUCCUUCUGGUUCUAUAUCACUGACCCUAAGAUCCCAUGAUUAAGAGACUUGCUUAAGGUCACAUAGUCAUUAGCAAAUCUAAGUCCUUCUAAUUCCUACUUUAGUGCAACUUCUGUCUUUCAACAUUCUUUUUUCUCUCAAACCAGCAGUCAGCAUCACUUCUUAGAGACAGAACUCAAUUUCUUUUUGUUAUAAAUGAUAUUAUUGUGGAAAAAUAUAAUUGGAAAAUGUGAUGGACUAGGGAAAAGCAAUGGAUUAUAGAUUGCUCAAGUACUGCCCUGAUAGCUAUGAAGUAUAAAAAGAUCAAGGGGAAGCCCUCAUUAUGUUGUGUUGAUGGCCUGUGGAAGAUGUUUGGGAGACCAUGGACCAGAAGGUAAAGAUGAAUUAUGAACUUCAUGGACACCUAAAUCAAUGACAUUGAAGAUACAUUGGAGUGAGGAAAUAUUAAUCUGGGAUAGAUGGACCCAUGGCAAUCUGUAGUAUUGUAAUUUAAUGAAUCAUCUUAAGCUCCUCCAUUUUAAACAAGGGCAGUGGCUGAAGAU